rnacentral:rRNA from 1 species
CAGCAGCCGCGGUAAUACGGAGGGUGCAAGCGUUAAUCGGAAUUACUGGGCGUAAAGCGCACGCAGGCGGUCUGACAAGUCAGAUGUGAAAUCCCCGGGCUUAACCUGGGAACUGCAUUUGAAACUGUCAGGCUGGAGUCUUGUAGAGGGGGGUGGAAUUCCAGGUGUAGCGGUGAAAUGCGUAGAGAUCUGGAGGAAUACCGGUGGCGAAGGCGGCCCCCUGGACAAAGACUGACGCUCAGGUGCGAAAGCGUGGGGGCAAACAGGAUUAGAUACCCGAGUAGUCCCUGUCUCUUAUACA